rnacentral:lncRNA from 1 species
AGAAGGCAGGCAGUUCUCUGCUCUGAGGCUACAAAUGUGGAGGCAGCAGAGCCCAGGGAAGUCAGGUGCCCUGGCCGCUGCCCAUGUACUCCAGCCACUGUCCCGGGGGCAGUGAAUGCUGAGACAGGGUCCAGGUGGAAAGCUGGUAUGGCUUGGAUUUCCCCAGGGCAACCCUUGUCACCAUGUCAUAUUCUGCCAGGCAGCCUGCACCAUCCAACAACAUCUCAGAAAUGGGGACAGUUUGGG